CCUUCUCAUCAUCGACCGCGAGACGCAGAGAUUCGAGCCUGUUCAGUAUCCCUAACGCCUCUGAUUUCAAUAACUCUGCAACUUAACUCCACUGAGCGGUAGAGAAGGCGAGAGCCACCACUGGAUCUCUCUCUCUCUCCCGUGCCUCGCUCUUUCACGUUUACAUCUCUCUCUCUCUCUCUCUCUCUCUGAGUUUUGAUUUCGAUUUGAAAGCCAGCUACUGUCACGAACACCGUCAAAGUCCGAUUGUUGAGGUUUUGGAAAGCUCAUGGGGUAGACAUGUCCUCUUCGACCAGAAGGUCUUCAAAACGAAUUGCAGUAUACUAGGAAAAUCUAUGUCACCGGCACGGAAGAGCACACAAAACCACCAUGAACGUGCUUACAAUAGCUGGAAUCAUAGGAAAAAAAGGCAUCGAGUGAAAAAGAUGAAUUUUAAUUGAGCAAGAGAUUCACAUGUUGCGAGAAAAAAGAUUUGCUCAAUGGAAAGAGAGGUAAGGAUGAUAAUUUCAGACCUAAGUUCAAUACCAGAAAGACCUGGCAGCUUACACGUGGAAUACACCAACUAAGCUUUGGUAUAAGGGGGUAUGGUUCUUGCACGCAACCCCUAAAUUCUCUCUUCUUUCUUGGAUUGCAAUCCAUGACAGGUUUUCCACAGGAGAUCAUAUAAGGAAGUGGAACUCAGGAGCAUCCACCACUUAUAUCCUUUAGAGACCCUGACCAUCUUUAUUUUCACUAAGUUUUUGGAGAAGGUAUGGGAAAAUCUUACUUUAAAGCUUUUUGGUUCAAGUACACAACAGUAGAAACGGAUAUUAGAUAUUCUGGUUGAAAUUAUUGGGAUCAAGUCAGUCAGUUUAUCAUUCAGUAUGUAUUCCAAGCAACAAUUCACUUAGUAUGACGGAAGAGGAACGUAAUGACUUCAAUUCCUGCAUCUUGUGUAAUACAAAACAUUGACAAAAUGGUCUGGCACAAAAUUUCAUCUCUGCUAGGAUAAGAGGCAAUCAAUAUGUAGAAGCUAUGGAAAUUUGGUUUGCUUCAAGGCCUGUAAGAGUGUAUUAAACAAGUAUUUGGGGGUAAACAUUGCUUCGCCAACAACAAACAUAUGAAGGAUGUCUCAGGUGGUGUGUACUGCUCAAAUGUAAUUGGUAGGACAAGAGAGAGCAUGUUGCUAACGAAAUGGGAAAGGAUGAGAAAAGAGACUUAUUUAAUUAGAUCUUUGUUUUGUUCGGCCGUGGAUAAGAUUCUCCUGCUUUUGGAUUAUAGAUAUUGAGUGCAGGUUUUGAAAUUUUGAUAGCGAGUCUGGAGCGAAAGGUUUUGUUUCCUUUACUGAGAUCUCUAUUUCAUCAAAGAUAUGCAUGCAGUCACUGUUUUGUCA